GCGGUAUUCGACGGAAAAUAAAUUAAUUAAUAACAAAAUAAACUAAAACGUGUUUACUUAAACUGAUAUCAACACAAUGUCAAUGAAAUAUAAUAAAUACUAUUUGAUUAUAUAAGUUUUGCAUUUCUACAAUAGGAUAGCACAAAUUUCAGCUGUGUUGCAUCGCGGUGUUGUGCUAUACAAUACUACAAGUUUUCUUCCUCCAUAUCACUACCCAGAUCAUCUUCUGAAUCAUCUUCAAGGCUACCGCUUUCGCUGGACUCGUGUGGACAAUUUGUGCAUCCAACACACUGGCACAUUUCAUUACACUGGUUGUUGGCCUUUUUACAGGAGCAUCUUAGGGUUGAACAACCGGUGUUACAUUUGCAGUUGCAAUCUUUGAGCAGUACAUCAGGAGCACAUUUCUUUGUCAUCCACACCACAUCAAUAUUUCCUUCUUCAUCAAUCUUCCAUCCAUGAUCAAUUGGUAAAGGCGCGUCAAUUGUUGGAGUUGUUGCUCUUUUCCAUAUUGCGGCCUGGUAAUUUGCUCGCUGGAUGUGUUGUACAAGACAAUCCUCAUUUGGAGGCAAUGCUGCAUCAGAGAAUUUACCCAUCCUAAACAUGUCAUAUCUUGCUUUAUUGACAGAUGUGGUAUCCUUAGCCCCAUAUAGCAUGCAUGUAAGUGACUCGAGGUUUUCCUGAAUGGAUUCAUCAACGUCAAAGUCCUCACCAAGACGCACAAAUGUGUCGAGAGCUGUUUCGUCAUUUGAAACUAAUUUCCAGGUUGAUAUCUUACUUCGACCAUAAAAUGA